AUACAUGCUUAAAACCCCGACUUCGGAAGGGGUGUAUUUAUUAGAUUAAAAACCAAUGCCCUUCGGGGCUCACUGGUGAUUCAUAAUAACUUCUCGAAUCGCAUGGCCUUGUGCCGGCGAUGGUUCAUUCAAAUUUCUGCCCUAUCAACUUUCGACGGCUGGGUCUUGGCCAGCCGUGGUUACAACGGGUAACGGAGGGUUAGGGCUUGACCCCGGAGAAGGAGCCUGAGAAACGGCUACUACAUCCAAGGAAGGCAGCAGGCGCGCAAAUUACCCAAUCCCGACUCGGGGAGGUAGUGACAAUAAAUACUGAUACAGGGCUCUUUUGGGUCUUGUAAUUGGAAUGAGUACAAUUUAAAUCCCUUAACGAGGAACAAUUGGAGGGCAAGUCUGGUGCCAGCAGCCGCGGUAAUUCCAGCUCCAAUAGCGUAUAUUAAAGUUGUUGCAGUUAAAAAGCUCGUAGUUGAACCUUGGGCCUGGCUGGCCGGUCUGCCUCACCGCAUGCACUGGUCCGGCCGGGCCUUUCCCUCUGGGGAUCCGCAUGCCCUUCACUGGGUGUGUCGGGGAACCAGGACUUUUACUGUGAAAAAAUUAGAGUGUUCAAAGCAGGCAUAUGCUCGAAUACAUUAGCAUGGAAUAAUAGAAUAGGACGUCGCGGUUCUAUUUUGUUGGUUUAUAGGACCGCCGUAAUGAUUAAUAGGGACAGUCGGGGGCAUCAGUAUUCAAUUGUCAGAGGUGAAAUUCUUGGAUAGAUUGAAGACUAACUACUAAGAAAGCAUUUGCCAAGGAUGUUUUCAUUAAUCAGGAACGAAAGUUAGGGGAUCGAAAAGGAUCAGAUACCGUUGUAGUAUUAACCAUAAACUAUGCGGAUUAGGGAUCGGGCGGUGUUAUUAUUGACCCG
rnacentral:rRNA from 1 species